CUGAAAUCAAGUGUGACGACCCGCUGAACUUAAGCAUAUCAAUAAGCGGAGGAAAAGAAAUCAAAUGAGAUUUCCGUAGUAGCUGCGAGUGAACUGGAAUCAAGCCUAUUGCCAAUUCUUAUGUUUUGUACAAUAAGAGAUGAGGUGUAAAGGUGUUUCGUGUUUAGCAGAUGUACAGCUUAAUUAUUAUUGAGUGAGUGCUCAGAGAAGGUGAAAAGCCUGUAUAGUUGUGCUAGUCUGUUGAACUGUAACACUGAAGAGUCUAGUUGUUUGAGAGUACAACUUAAAGCUGGUGGUAAAUUUCAUCAAAGGCUAAAUAUAUGAGGGGACUAAUAGCGAACAAGUACCAUGAGGGAAAGUUGAAAAGAACUCUGACGAGAGAGUUCAAUAGUACGUGAAACCAUAUUGAGUAAAACAGAUAACUGUGCUGUUAUGCGGUGUGCCUAUCAACAGUUUAUUUGGUGUUGUGAUGUUUCGAGUGUAGGUUGUCUAUUCAGCUGAUUGCUCGAGGUUAGCAUUACCAGAGAUUCUGUGCAAUAGUGCGCACUCGAGCAUUGAGAAACUAUGCUGCUGCGGCAUCGGUGUACAGCAGUCCGUACCUAGUGCGAAGUUGUACGCUGGGUGCAGCUGGCUGGUGUAGUUUAGCUGUGUGACAGCUGUAGGCUGCGUUUAUGAUAGGUUCCUGCUGUAUCUGCGAAUUGGUUUAUUCCUUUUUGCGGCGAGUAUGGUAUUAUCAGUAAGCGGCCUGCCAUCAA
rnacentral:rRNA from 1 species